UCGGUGCCGCAGCUAACGCAUUAAGUACUCCGCCUGGGAAGUACGCUCGCAAGAGUGAAACUCAAAGGAAUUGACGGGGACCCGAACAAGUAGCGGAGCAUGUGGUUUAAUUCGAAGCAACGCGAAGAACCUUACCUAAGCUUGACAUCCCAAUGACAUCUCCUUAAUCGGAGAGUUCCCUGCGGGGACAUUGGUGACAGGUGGUGCAUGGUUGUCGUCAGCUCGUGUCGUGAGAUGUUGGGUUAAGUCCCGCAACGAGCGCAACCCUUGUCUUUAGUUGCCAUCAUUAAGUUGGGCACUCUAGAGAGACUGCCAGGGAUAACCUGGAGGAAGGUGGGGAUGACGUCAAAUCAUCAUGCC
rnacentral:rRNA from 1 species